rnacentral:rRNA from 1 species
UACGGGGGGGGCAAGCGUUGUUCGGAAUUACUGGGCGUAAAGGGCUCGUAGGCGGUCCGAUAAGUCCCGUGUGAAAUCCCUCGGCUCAACUGAGGAAUGGCACGGGAAACUGACGGGCUUGAGUUCGGGAGAGGGAAGCGGAAUUCCGGGUGUAGCGGUGAAAUGCGUAGAUAUCCGGAGGAACACCGGUGGCGAAGGCGGCUUCCUGGACCGACACUGACGCUGAGGCGCGAAAGCUAGGGGAGCAAACGGG